rnacentral:rRNA from 1 species
AGAGUUUGAUCAUGGCUCAGGAUGAACGCUAGCGGCAGGCUUAAUACAUGCAAGUCGGACGGUAACAGGUGCAGCAAUGCAUGCUGACGAGUGGCGCACGGGUGCGUAACACGUAUGCAACCUACCCUUAACCGGGACAUAACCCUUAGAAAUGGGGGCUAAUAUCCCAUGGUAUUAUGAUAAGGCAUCUUAUUAUAAUUAAAGAUUUAUUGGUUAAGGAUGGGCAUGCGUCCCAUUAGUUAGUUGGUGUGGUAACGGCACACCAAGACUGUGAUGGGUAGGGGUCCUGAGAGGGUUAUCCCCCACACUGGUACUGAGACACGGACCAGACCCCUACGGGAGGCAGCAGUAAGGAAUAUUGGGCAAUGGAGGCAACUCUGACCCAGCCAUGCCGCGUGCAGGAAGACGGCCCUAUGGGUUGUAAACUGCUUUUAAACGGGAAUAAUUCCACUUACGAGAUAGGUGGUUGCAAGUACCGUAAGAAUAAGCAUCGGCUAACUCCGUGCCAGCAGCCGCGGUAAUACGGAGGAUGCGAGCGUUAUCCGGAUUUAUUGGGUUUAAAGGGUGCGUAGGCUGAUACUUAAGUCAGUGGUGAAAUUUCCCGGCUCAACCGGGAGGCUGCCAUUGAUACUGUGUAUCUUGAGUUUAGAUGAUGUGGGCGGAAUGUGUCAUGUAGCGGUGAAAUGCAUAGAGAUGACACAGAACACCGAUAGCGAAGGCAGCUCACAAAGCUAUAACUGACGCUGAGGCACGAAAGCGUGGGGAUCAAACAGGAUUAGAUACCCUGGUAGUCCACGCCGUAAACGAUGAUCACUAGCUGUAGGCGAUACACAGUCUGUGGCUAAGCGAAAGCGAUAAGUGAUCCACCUGGGGAGUACGUCCGCAAGGAUGAAACUCAAAGGAAUUGACGGGGGCCCGCACAAGCGGAGGAGCAUGUGGUUUAAUUCGAUGAUACGCGAGGAACCUUACCUGGGCUUGAACGUAUGGUGCAUUAGGGUGAAAGCCCUAUUUCUAGCAAUAAACUUCAUACGAGGUGCUGCAUGGCUGUCGUCAGCUCGUGCCGUGAGGUGUUAGGUUAAGUCCUGCAACGAGCGCAACCCCUGUUUCCAGUUGCCAUCAAGUAAAGUUGGGGACUCUGGAGAGACUGCCUGCGCAAGCAGAGAGGAAGGUGGGGAUGACGUCAAGUCAGCACGGCCCUUACGUCCAGGGCUACACACGUGCUACAAUGGCCGGUACAGAGGGCAGCGACCUGGUGACAGGCAGCGAAUCUCCAAAGCCGGUCUCAGUUCGGAUCGGAGUCUGCAACUCGACUCCGUGAAGCUGGAUUCGCUAGUAAUCGGAUAUCAGCAAUGAUCCGGUGAAUACGUUCCCGGGCCUUGUACACACCGCCCGUCAAGCCAUGGGAGUUAGGGGUACCUGAAGUCGAUCACCGCAAGGAGUCGCCUAGGGUAAACCUGAUGACUGGGGCUAAGUCGUAACAAGGUAACC